GACCCCAGGUCAGGCGGGAUUACCCGCUGAAUUUAAGCAUAUCAAUAAGCGGAGGAAAAGAAACUUACCAGGAUUCCCUUAGUAACGGCGAGCG
rnacentral:rRNA from 2 species